rnacentral:sRNA from 1 species
CCACACACUGAUAGACAGACACAUGCAAACUUUGAACCGAAAAACUUGCCGCAAAAAGUUUUUAAGUAAACGGAGAGGAGGAAGCCGCAAAGGCUAAAACACAUCCUGAUUAUGGCAGACAAAAAGGAUGACACUGGAAGCCAUGUGGAGGGAUGUCCUUGUCUCUUGAAAGGCAAGUGCACUUGCAAGGCCCCCAAGAAGGACAGGGUGGUCUUGAAUCCCUAAGAGUACGAUCGCUUGAUGGCCACCAAUGAGGGUCUUGCCAAUUUGAAGAGAAUGAUGCGGCUGGAAGCCGGUCUAGGUGAACCCGACGAUGUAAUCAUCAUCGAGGGCUCCGAUCUUGAAUACUAAACUAUAUGCUGCGAAACCCAAGACACACCACAAAUAGUAUAUGAUCUUCUACCUUUAAUAAUAGUUUUUACAAUGAAAUACUGGUACCUCGAUUACUAAACAAGUUGCUGCCAAAAACACGAUAAAUAGGAAUGAAGUGCUUCAAAAUUUUCAAGUUCAAAGCACACCACGAGUAGGUAUUGAUCUUCUGCCUUCAAAAAUACUUUUUACAAUGAAAGACUGGUAACUCUAUUUCUAAACUACUUACUGCCAUAAAGAUGAAUAGGAAUCGGUGUAUCCUUUAUCUUAAAACACUGUAUCUACAGUGAAACACAAGUAUCCGGUUCUUGCAAGCUCACGAUGAAUAGCUAUGGAUCUUCCGCCUUCAAAAACUGUUUCUAUAUGGAGACACUAGUAUACAUACUAUAUUUUGUAAGCAUGUUUUGGACUGCUGCUUGAAAAUAAAGCUCUUGUGACAAAGGAGAAAGACUACACUA